rnacentral:rRNA from 1 species
GAUCUGGUUCAGGAUGAACGCUAGCUACAGGCUUAACACAUGCAAGUCGAGGGGCAGCAUUGGGGUAGCAAUACUCAGAUGGCGACCGGCGCACGGGUGAGUAACACGUAUCCAACCUGCCGCUUACUCGGGGAUAGCCUUUCGAAAGAAAGAUUAAUACCCGAUGGUAUAAAGAGUUCGCAUGUUCUCUUUAUUAAAGAAUUUCGGUAAGCGAUGGGGAUGCGUUCCAUUAGAUAGUUGGCGGGGUAACGGCCCACCAAGUCUACGAUGGAUAGGGGUUCUGAGAGGAAGGUCCCCCACAUUGGAACUGAGACACGGUCCAAACUCCUACGGGAGGCAGCAGUGAGGAAUAUUGGUCAAUGGACGAGAGUCUGAACCAGCCAAAAGUAGCGUGAAGGAUGACUGCCCUAUGGGUUGUAAACUUCUUUUAUAAGGGAAUAAAGUGAGGGACGUGUCCCUUUUUGUAUGUACCUUAUGAAUAAGGAUCGGCUAACUCCGUGCCAGCCGCGGC